UACAGAGGGGGCAAGCGUUGUUCGGAAUUACUGGGCGUAAAGGGCGCGUAGGCGGCCUGCUAAGUCGGACGUGAAAUCCCUCGGCUCAACCGGGGAACUGCGUCCGAUACUGGCGAGGCUUGAAUCCGGGAGAGGGAUGUGGAAUUCCAGGUGUAGCGGUGAAAUUCGUAGAUAUUCGCAAGAACACCAGUGGCGAAGGCGGCUCACUGGCCCGUAACUGACGCUGAGGCACGAAAGCGUGGGGAGCAAACAGG
rnacentral:rRNA from 1 species